UUUACCUGUCAAUCAUUAAUUGGUGGCAAAACAACUUAGAAUUAAAAUAAAAGAAAAAUAAUAGAAAUAAAACAAUGUAUAUGAAAUGUAAAUUUAAUAAAUAUUUGAACAUUUUUAAUGAAAUGAUUACAUUUUAAAUUAAAUGAUGAUUCUAAAAUAACCACUCUUAAUACUUCGCAUCAAUUCAAAACGAUGGAGAGAUACUAGUGAUAUUUUAUGAUGAUAAAAAAACAAAAAAGAAAAUUAAAUAAAUUCAGUACUAGAUAAAAUACGUAUUUUUUAUUUCAAUCUGGCAAUACAAGAACGAAAUUACAUACAAGCGAGAUUUAGGAUAUCAAAAGGAACAGAGGAGUGCUAGGGGCAGUCUUCACAUUCGCUUUUCUAAUGGGUCAGAAUUACUAUAAUUUAGCAUGACCCUUCAUAGUGGCUGUGAUGUUUCGCAUUUUUUUAUUUUCUGGCAUAUUUUGAUUUUUUUGUAUUUAUUUAUUUUUUUGUCUCGUUUUGAGUAUCAUGCAUUGGUUAGCGUGUCACGAGGGUUCCGAGAAUAAUUUUGAGUAUUUCUUUGAGUUUAGGACUCUUAUAAAUACAUUUUGGGUCAUUUUUGUAUUUUUUGAAUUUUUGGUCCGGGAGGUUCCAUGUGGAUCCCACGCCUGGAUUUGUGUGUUUCGAAAUUAUUUUUUGGAUUUAUUUAAAUGUUUUAUAUGUUAUUUGUCUUAUAUGUGGGGUUACAUUUGGUAUUUGGCUCGGUAAGGGGCAUAGAUAUGGUUUUGGAGGCUUCAAAGGUAUUUUAGUCAUUUUGCUUGGUCAAUUUUUGACCAAGCAUGUGGAGGACACUUUUUUUAUAUUCGGCAAACUUGUCUUUCUUCUUCCUCUUCCUUUCUUUUUUAUUCUUUCUUCCAUUUUUCCUCCAUUGUAGCUUCCUUUGAAGCUUGAUUUUGAGAACUUUGUAAUAGGAUUUUGGCCAUGCUUAAGGAUCAAAUGUUCCUUAUGAUGAGAGCUUUCCAUUAAUGUCAAAGGCAUCCCUAUUUCUUCCUUUUUUUGAAAUUCCCUUUGAAGGUGGGAGUUGGUUGAUGCUUCAAGAGGAAAAUUUGUUCCUCGUCCUCCUCUCUUCAUUGGUAUGUUUAGGCCUUCAUUUGGUGGACUUUAGUUCUUGGUAGAGGUUAGAGUUUGAGCUUCUAAAAGGUUGUUUCCCCAAAUAGAGAUAAAAGUGAAGCUUUGUGAGUUCUUGAAGAUCAACGCAUGCCGGGCUGGGGACCUUUAGUUUUGUAAAGCUAUUUUGUUCCAUUGAACUCAUGGCCCUCUCUGCAAAGCCUAAGAAGGAUGGUUACAUCUUCAGGUUAAGCCAAUGCUAAUUCAGUAGAGAAGUGAGCAAGGCAGCACCAUGGCGGGUGCCGGCCAUCCAUAUUCCAAUCCUGCGGGUGCCCGCAGGCAGAGACUUUGGAUUUUUGCAGGGCCUCGCUAUAUCUGUGAGCGCCCUAGGGCAGAAACUUUGAAGUUUGGCGGGGCCCCGCCAUUAGCCAUCUUGGCACCCCACGGCAGCCCCUUGACACCUCGCCGGCGCCCGCCCUACGCUGUAGGUGCCCGCCAAUUUGCAGACAACAAAGCAUGGGCUGCAUUGUUUCACCCAAUGCUGUCCCCUUGACCCAAUGGAUGGCUUUGCACUCUUCUAGGGAUUUCUAGCCACGAAUUUACUUAAUUUUGGGAGGAUUUUUGGCUCAUAAAAGGGGCUUGUAUGGUUCUAAAGAGAUAUCUCACUUUGUAAGGUUUCUUGAGAGCUUGUGAGUUAUUCUUGGCUGCUAAGUGCGAAAAUGGAGGGGAGGAUCUCAUCCACACCUUGUUCAUUUGCAUCCAUGGGUAACUAACUCCCUUUCUAGGGAGGUGAUGAAGCCCUUCUUUGUAAGCAUGCUCUAGUUUUGAUUUUAAUUUGGGGAAUGAAGUGUGUAUAUGGUAUUUUCAUAAUCUAGAGCACUUUACAUGUUGUAAUGGAUAUUAAUGUCUAUAAAUGAUCAUUUUGAGUUGAUUAUUUUGUCUUA